GAGAGGUUUUUAUACAAAAGUCUAGAUCUACGAAGAUCCAACGGUCGGAUCUUCAAUCCGUUUUCGGAAACGUGAUCCUUGCACUCGGAUCUACGUUCUUACCGAUUGAUUUAAGGUAUUUGAACUUAUUGGAGUUUACUUGAGGCUACCCAAACUUUGGGUUGAAGUUUGGAGAACUUGGCGGCACUUUGUGGAUUGAGCCUAGGACUUAUUAGUGUUGGUGUGCAAGCAGUCAGAUGAUGUCCAUUUGACUGCAGGUACACCUGACUUAGAGGAGGACCCCGUAGCUGCGUAUUUGGGAUAUUACGAUUGAAGCACACCGCGACAGUCGUAUUGAGUUGGACUAUGGAGUUCACUCUUUUGGGGUAUUUUGUAUAUGGCUAGUGACGUAGGUGUCACAUAUUCUUUUGUGUAGCCAUUCUUUUGUAUUAGUGGAAUUGUAGCCUUAAACAGUUAGACAGAUAUAUGGCUCUUUUGUAUGGACCACAUGUAUAUUUAGAUGUGCUUUCCGUUAUGAGAUGUAACGUUAUGAUUA